UGGGAAGACGCCUCGUUCAGUGAGAAGGU
rnacentral:piRNA from 1 species